AUUUAACUCUAUCUUCAUUCCUAACACAUGCAAGUCUAACGAGUGGCGGACGGGUGAGUAAUGUCUGGGAAACUGCCUGAUGGAGGGGGAUAACUACUGGAAACGGUAGCUAAUACCGCAUACCAUCGGAUGUGCCCAGAUGGGAUUGGCUAGUAGGUGGGGUAAAGGCUCACCUAGGCGACGAUCCCUCGCUGGUCUGAGCGGAUGACCAGCCACACUGUAAAUGGGCCACGGACCAGACUCCUACGGUAGGCAGCAGUGGGGAAUAGUGCACAAUGGGCGCAAGCCUGAUGCAGCCAUGCCGCGUGUAUGAAGAAGGCCUUCGGGUUGUAAAGUACGUUCAGCGGGGAGGCGUUACCCGCAGAAGAAGCACCGGCUAACUCCGUGCCAGCAGCCGCGGUAAUAC
rnacentral:rRNA from 1 species